UACGGGAGGCAGCAGUGGGGAAUAUUGCACAAUGGGCGCAAGCCUGAUGCAGCCAUGCCGCGUGUAUGAAGAAGGCCUUCGGGUUGUAAAGUACUUUCAGUCGUGAGGAAGGUGUUAAGGUUAAUAACCUUAGCAAUUGACGUUAGCGACAGAAGAAGCACCGGCUAACUCCGUGCCAGCAGCCGCGGUAAUACGGAGGGUGCGAGCGUUAAUCGGAAUUACUGGGCGUAAAGGGCACGCAGGCGGUUAAUUAAGUUGGAUGUGAAAUCCCCGGGCUUAACCUGGGAAUGGCAUUCAAGACUGGUUAGCUAGAGUCUUGUAGAGGGGGUAGAAUUCCAUGUGUAGCGGUGAAAUGCGUAGAGAUGUGGAGGAAUACCGGUGGCGAAGGCGGCCCCUGGACAAAGACUGACGCUCAUGUGCGAAAGCGUGGGGAGCAAACAGGGGUUAGAUACC
rnacentral:rRNA from 1 species